UACGAAGGGGGCUAGCGUUGUUCGGAAUUACUGGGCGUAAAGCGCGCGCAGGCGGUCUUCCAAGUCAGUGGUGAAAGCCUGGAGCUCAACUCCAGAACUGCCAUUGAAACUGUUAGACUUGAGUACGAGAGAGGUGAGUGGAAUUCCCAGUGUAGAGGUGAAAUUCGUAGAUAUUGGGAAGAACACCGGUGGCGAAGGCGGCUCACUGGCUCGUAACUGACGCUCAGGCGCGACAGCGUGGGGAGCAAACAGG
rnacentral:rRNA from 1 species